rnacentral:ncRNA from 13 species
GGAGUGUUAGCUCAGCUGGGAGAGCUCCUGCCUUACAAGCAGGCGGUCAUAGGUUCAAGUCCUAUACACUCCA